ensembl:lncRNA
UUUUUUUUCUCUUUCCUGUUUCAUUCCUGAUCUGCCCAGAUCCCUCUGUCUGCAGGGUCACUCCUGAAAGUUUUCAAGGCUCAAACCUGGCUGCUGGCUGAACUUGACAUUGCCUGUAUGGCUAGAGCUUUUCAUCCUAGUCAGCUCUCCUCUCCCUCCAGGACGCAGUCUCUGUUCCAGAACUCAACACACUUCUCUCUGACAGCCACCAAGUCCUGCCCACUAUCUGCUGCACACCGUGGGGUGUCAUUCCAGGACCCUGCUACAGACAUCAGGCCGCUUCCACAGUCACCUGGGUCAUUCUGCCUCUUCACACUCAUUGGGCAUGAUUCGCCAUCCUCUCGUCUUAGAAGAAAUACUUUCAGCUUCUCACCGUUGUGUAUGAUGUUAGCUGUGGAUUUGUUAUAAAUGGCCAUUAUUAUAUUGGGACAUGUUCCCUCUAUGGGUUUGAUCCUUGGCUUGGGAAGAUCCCCUGGAGAAGGAAAUGGCAAUCCAUUCCAGUGUUCCUGCCUGGAGAACCCCAUGGACAGAGAAGCCUGGUUCUCUUCUGUGGCUAGACUCUUGCCUAGAAGCUCUGGGGGAAAAUCCCUUUCUAAGCUGAUUCUUAUUGUUGGCAGAAGCAGGUGAUUUUUUUGCUGCUUUGGGACUGAGAUCCUCAUUUUCUUACUGGCCAUCAGUCAGGGCCCACUCUUUGUGCCUUUCUUUCCUUGUGCCCCCCCCCCCCCCACUGAAUCCUUCUCCUGCUUUGAAUCUGUCAUACUUCCCCUUUAUUUGCUCUUUAGCCACCAGCCAGAACGCAUCUUCUGUUUUUAAGGAUGCAUGUGAUCACAUUGGGCUAAUCAGACAGUCCAGGGUAAUCUCCCCAUGUUAAGGUCAGCAGGCUAGGAGACAUAAUUCCAUCUACAAUGUCCUUUUUGUCAUGUAACACAACAUAUACAUGUGCAUGAUAUCUUAGUGCCACAGUUUCUGGGAACUAGGGCAAAGUACUUUUUUUAAGAGUUCAGUUUAGAAAUUUUGUUUAUCACAACUGUCAAAAAGGAGGCUUUCUAUAAAGGGUAUCUAUGGGCAACAGUCCAUAAACAAAGCACUGUCCUUUGCACAUAACAUGAGCUCCUUUUAGGUCUAUUUUAAGCAUAGUUUCUGAAACGGAGACAUUCUAUUAGAUUAAUAACAAAAGAAAC